rnacentral:rRNA from 1 species
UACGGGGGGAGCAAGCGUUGUUCGGAUUUACUGGGCGUAAAGGGCGCGUAGGCGGCCACUGCAAGUCAGUUGUGAAAUCUCCGGGCUUAACCCGGAAAGGUCAACUGAUACUGCAGGGCUAGAGUGCAGAAGGGGCAACUGGAAUUCUCGGUGUAGCGGUGAAAUGCGUAGAUAUCGAGAGGAACACCGAUAGCGAAGGCAGCUCGCUGGGACGGUACUGACGCUGAGGUGCGAAAGCGUGGGGAGCGAACAGG